rnacentral:rRNA from 1 species
CCUACGGGGCGCAGCAGUGGGGAAUAUUGGACAAUGGGCGCAAGCCUGAUCCAGCCAUGCCGCGUGAGUGAAGAAGGCCUUAGGGUUGUAAAGCUCUUUCACCGGUGAAGAUAAUGACGGUAACCGGAGAAGAAGCCCCGGCUAACUUCGUGCCAGCAGCCGCGGUAAUACGAAGGGGGCUAGCGUUGCUCGGAAUGACUGGGCGUAAAGGGCACGUAGGCGGUGAAUCGGGUUGAAAGUGAAAGUCGCCAAAAACUGGCGGAAGACUCUCGAAACCAAUUCACUUGAGUGAGACAGAGGAGAGUGGAAUUUCGUGUGUAGGGGUGAAAUCCGGAGAUCUACGAAGGAACGCCAAAAGCGAAGGCAGCUCUCUGGGUCCCUACCGACGCUGGAGUGCGAAAGCAUGGGGAGCGAACGGGAUUAGAUACCCGUGUAGUC